UUCUUCUUUCUUUUUUUUUUCUCUUCUCCUUUCCUUUUCUUUCCUUCUUUUUCUUUCUUUUUUCUUCUUCUCCUUUCCUUUUCUUUCCUUCUUUUUCUUUCUUUCCUCUCCUUUCCUUUUCUUUCCUUUUCUUUCUUUCUUUCUUUCUUCUUCUUUCCCUCUCCUUCUCUCCCCCCACCGAUCGGCCCCAUUAUAAGGUUGGUGCCGCCAACUAGUAUGGCACCAUCGGUGCCGCCAAUCAGUUAGGCACCUUUG
rnacentral:lncRNA from 1 species